CUAUAACGACGUGGAACCACGGGAUCCCUUUCCGAACUCCAAUGUGAAACGCGUCAGUGCCGAUGGUACUAGGUCUUUUGCCACGGGAGAGUAGGUCG
rnacentral:rRNA from 1 species